UAGUCCACGCCGUAAACGAUGAGUGCUAGAUGUCGGGCUUAUGCUCGGUGUCACAGCUAACGCGUUAAGCACUCCGCCUGGGGAGUACGGCCGCAAGGUUAAAACUCAAAGGAAUUGACGGGGACCCGCACAAGCGGUGGAGCAUGUGGUUUAAUUCGAUGCUACGCGAAGAACCUUACCACCCUUUGACAUCCUGUUCGGGGAUUAUAGAGAUAUUUUCCUUCGGUUCGGCCGGAACAGUGACAGGUGUUGCAUGGCUGUCGUCAGCUCGUGUCGUGAGAUGUUGGGUUAAGUCCCGCAACGAGCGCAACCCUCAUCCUUUGUUGCCAGCGCGUAAUGGCGGGGACUCUAAGGAAACUGCUCGUGACAAGCGAGAGGAAGGUGGGGAUGACGUCAAGUCAUCAUGGGCCCUUAUAGGGGUGGGGCUACACACGUGCUACAAUGGGCGCUUACAAUGGGGUCGCUAUGCCGCAAGGGCAAUGCUAAUCUCAAAAGGGGCGCC
rnacentral:rRNA from 1 species